UCCUAACUCAUUUCUUAAUAAACAUAUCCUAACUCAUACCUAUACUAACCUAUUACCCAAACCUGCCCAACACACCCAUUUUGCCACCCUAUCAUGAUACUACCGGCCACUCAAGCCUUUGAUUCUUGAUGAACCAAACUAGCUCAAAUUAAAACAAAGAUAGCCAUUUAUUAUUAAGUGGCAACAUGUAUAUGUGUGUGUAUAUAUGUGUGGUGUUCAAAAGUAGACUAGUUAACAGCUGGUUCCUGCAAUAGGGCUCCUGCAUUAACAAGCAUAGGUUGUAGAGACUGCUCAAGGUGAAGGCUAAUAAUCUUACUAGCCCCACCAACAUAUUCACCUCCUAUGAACACAGCAGGCGGGUUUCGUCCCCGCCUCAAAAGGCUUUGCUCGAUUUCGUGACCUUUGUCGAUCUCAUCUAGCUCGUAGACCGCAGGGUUCACUCCGAGCUCGAAAAAGAGUGACUUUAUCGAGUGACACAUGCAACACGAAGUCCUACUGAAUAUCACCACUGGCCACUCAGUCACCAUUCGCAUCACCAUAUCCAUUGCUAAAGUGUUAUAGGAUUUUUAAA
rnacentral:lncRNA from 1 species